CCGGUCGCACGCAUUAAAAAGCCCUCCUACGUCUUUUAGUUAAAAAGUGAUAAAACCCUGUGAAAACUAUCCAAAAAAUUAGAUAAAACGAAAGAAAAUUGAAGUGCAAGUAAUAUAUUCAUCGAUUUAUUUGGAGAUUAAUUGAAAAUACUUGGAAAUUGCAUAAGAAAAAGAAUUGCAAAUUAACUGCAACGAAAAUAUAGGGCAGCGGUUUACGAGUUUGUGUUUCGUCGGGUGUGUAUCCAUUAGCAUUGUUGCUGUUGUGGUGUGUGUGCAAAACAAAUAAAAGAGGCCGUCAUACGUCUGCGAUUUUCGCGCUAGUGCUCCGUCGUGUUUGUUUUAUUUGUUGUUAUUGUUGUGUUUGUAUGCAACUAGUGUGAGAGAGAUGGCGCUCGUGAUCACAUUCUCCGAGUUGAUUAAAAAGUGUUUUGUGUUGGUCCAAAAUUGACGAGGCUCUGAAGCUACACUUAGUUUGGCACUUUACCAAAAACAAAUCAUAGUGAUUUCAUCAUCCAAGUGAAUUAGCAAAAAAAAGUAUUUUAAUUAAAUUAAUCAGCUCUUUUCCAUAUAUAAAUGUUAGCAAAGACAUACAAUACGUAAAGAUACGAUUAAAGUUCGAAAAGUUCGACUAUGGAUAAUGUUGAAUGCAUAUUUGACAUUGCAUUCAUUGUCAUGGGACCACUUUUACACAUUUUACAAAAGUGUUUAUCAUCUAGCCAAGAUCUCUACCAAAGCUUCGUUUAGCCGAAAUCUCUACCAAAGCUUCGGUUAGUCAAUAUCUGUACCGAUGAAUAUUAACAGAGAUGACGUCAUACCAUUGAAUAAGCAAAAAAAGCGUUUAAGCCUAGCAAAAAAAAGUCUUUCAUCUCUUAUAACAAUCAAUCAACAAAUUUGCCGCAUGUCAUUUUACCGUGUAACCGUUACCAUGGAUUGCAUUCCUGUGAAAUGAUUAUGCGAUACGAGGAAAAAACGACAAAGAAAAAAAUUAUUCUGUAUACCAGGAAUCUAUUAAUCGACUUUCGAUUAAUCAGCUUUACUUGUGAUUACUCAAAGUUGUGGUCGUUAGUACAUGGGUAUUCAUUUGGACUCUACCAGAUUGCGAACAUAAGCAUCCACAGAUGGCAAAUCCGAGUCAUCAAAUAGGAGAAAACGUAAACAAAGAAAGAAUAAAAUAAGAGAACAAGCUGAUAUCCUCAAUGCCAAGUACUGCCAAAAAUUAAAAAAAAUGUAUGUCAGCUGAUUGCUUUGCUUAACUUCAUUCCCGAUUUUGACGUCUAAAAGCACUACUUCACGUCAGGAUGCACU
rnacentral:sRNA from 1 species